UCCCCCCGACCGCCCAUUCUUCACCUCUGCUCCCUCUUUCUUCUUCCUACCCUCUCUUCAUCCUUGCGCAUCCCGCCGCGCUUCCCUUCCUACCUCCUCCGCCAUGUCCCAAUUGGAAGCGUCCUCCGGUAGCAGGAUGCGGUCCUCGAGGCCAGUCCGCAGUGGGUGAUGAGGCGGGCCUACCAUUGAUCCCGUGCCCCAUGUGCAAGAUGGAGUGUGUGAUUGAGCUACGGUCAAAAAAGGAGAACUUGAACAAGGGGUGCGUUUUCAUCAAGUGUCCAAGGAACAUAGAAGGGAUGCCGGGGAGAUGCUAGUACUACAAAUGGCAAAUGCUGUGUUUGUAGGAGUUGUGUGCUUCAAACUAUGUUGAGGUGAACCUGGAAGCAACAGAGGCAUGCAUGGCACGCGCAGGCGUCAAAAGUGGAGGAUACGAGCCAUUUGUGGAAGAAGAAGAAGCAGAAGCUGAAUCCAUGAAUUUUGCUUCCGUAGGAGUAAGAAGUUCAAGUGGUGGGAAGAUUUAUGAUUGUGAGAUGGAAGCUAAGAUGGACAAGCUGAUUAGUGCAGUAAAGAUGUUGAUUGUGUGUAUUUGUGUUAGUAUUGCGUUAGUGGUCUAUAUGUUGAAGUGACAAUGGCUUGUGUUCAUACCUUUUGUGACUGAGUAGGCUUUUGGUUUAGUGAUAACCUGGCAUGUGAAGCACCAAGCUGAUCCUAGAACUUGUUAUCUUUUGUAAGUAACUAGGCUGACACUUUGUCUGUAUGGCAAUGAAUGAUGCAACGUCGAUGGUGUGCAUUGUUAUUUCAA